rnacentral:lncRNA from 1 species
UUUGUCUUUAACAACCAGAAAGUGGUAUUGUAGGCAGCUAGAUUGUCUGAAAUGUAGAGAGGCUUAUUUUGUGGUGUAUAAGUGCUAUGUUGUUUCAUCAAUUAGUUUCUAGUUGUGCAAAAAUUUCCCUUUCUAGUCCUAUUCCUCUCUAACACAUGACAUAUCUCAUAUUAUAGAUUUAUCAAUGCUUCACAGAAUUACAAUGCUCUAAGUUACGAUGACAAGAUCCUGGAUGGAUUUUAUGAUCUGUAUGGCGUCCUGAUGGAGUCCAAUUCUUCAAAAAUGCCAUCUCUCAUUGAUCUGCAAAGAAAGGAAGUAUCAGAUCAUAUCAGUUGGGAAGCCGUCCUUGUCAGUAAAGCUGCAGACUCCAAGUUGUUGAAACUUGAACAGAGAGCUCUAGAGAUUGCCUCAUUGAUCUGCAAAGAACAGAAGUAUCAGAUCAUAUCAGUUGGGAAGCCAUCCUUGUCAGUAAAGCUGCAGAUUCCAAGUUGUUGAAACUUGAACAGAGAGCUCUAGAGAUUGCUGUUGGGCUGAGG